rnacentral:rRNA from 1 species
UACGGAGGGUGCAAGCGUUAAUCGGAAUUACUGGGCGUAAAGGGUGCGUAGGUGGUCAGCUAAGUUAUCUGUAAAAUCCCUGGGCUUAACCUGGGCAGGUCAGAUAAGACUGGUUGACUCGAGUAUGGGAGAGGGCAGUGGAAUUUCCGGUGUAGCGGUGAAAUGCGUAGAGAUCGGAAGGAACACCAGUGGCGAAGGCGGCUGCCUGGCCUAAUACUGACACUGAGGCACGAAAGCGUGGGGAGCAAACAGG